rnacentral:hammerhead_ribozyme from 1 species
AUCUAGCUGAGGAGUCCCAAAAAGGACGAAACGCGCGUCAUGGAU